UCCCAGACCGUCAGCGGCGGACGGGUGAGUAACACGUGGGCAACCUGCCUGUAAGACUGGGAUACUCCGGGAAACCGGUNGCUAAUACCGGAUAACUCUUUNCCUCACAUGAGGAAAAGCUGAAAGAUGGCAUCUCGCUAUCACUUACAGAUGGGCCGGCGGCGCACUAUNUAGUUGGUGAGGUAACGGCUCACCAAGGCNACGAUGCGUAGCCGACCUGAGAGGGUGAUCGGCCACACUGGGACUGAGACACGGCCCAGACUCCUACGGGAGGCAGCAGUAGGGAAUCUUCCGCAAUGGACGAAAGUCUGACGGAGCAACGCCGCGUGAGUGNGNAAGGUUUUCGNAUCGUAAAACUCUGUUGUCAGGGAAGAACAAGUACCGGAGUAACUGCCGGUACCUUGACGGUACCUGACCAGAAGGCCACGGCUAACUACGUGCCAGCAGCCGCGGUAAUACGUAGGUGGCAAGCGUUGUCCGGAAUUAUUGGGCGUAAAGCGCGCGCAGGCGGUUCCUUAAGUCUGAUGUGAAAGCCCCCGGC
rnacentral:rRNA from 1 species